UAUACAACCGUACCGCAAACCGACACUGGUGCGCGAGAUGAGUAUUCUAAGGCGCUUGAGAGAACUCAGGAGAAGGAACUCGGCAAAUUGACACCGUAACUUCGGAAGAAGGUGUGCCCUAUUAGUGUGUAGUGAACAACGAAGCAUGAAUGGGUUGCAAAAAAUCGGUGGCUGCGACUGUUUAUUAAAAACACAGCACUCUGCAAACACGAAAGUGGACGUAUAGGGUGUGACGCCUGCCCGGUGCUGGAAGAUUAAAUGAUGGGGUGCAAGCUCUUGAUUGGAGUCCCAGUAAACGGCGGCCGUAACAAUAACGGUCCUAAGGUAGCGAAAUUCCUUGUCGGGUAAGUUCCGACCUGCACGAAUGGCGUGACGAUGGCCACACUGUCUCCUCCUGAGACUCAGCGAAGUUGAAAUGUUUGUGAUGAUGCAAUCUCCCCGCGGAAAGACGGAAAGACCCCAUGAACCUUUACUGUAGCUUUGUAUUGGACUUUGAACAGAUCUGUGUAGGAUAGGUGGGAGGCUUUGAAGCAGGGUCGCUAGAUCUUGUGGAGCCAACGUUGAAAUACCACCCUGGUGUGUUUGAGGUUCUAACCUAGGUCCAUUAUCUGGAUCGGGGACAGUGCAUGGUAGGCAGUUUGACUGGGGCGGUCUCCUCCCAAAGCGUAACGGAGGAGUUCGAAGGUACGCUAGUUACGGUCGGACAUCGUGACGAUAGUGCAAUGGCAUAAGCGUGCUUAACUGCGAGACUGACAAGUCGAGCAGAUGCGAAAGCAGGACAUAGUGAUCCGGUGGUUCUGUAUGGAAGGGCCAUCGCUCAACGGAUAAAAGGUACUCUGGGGAUAACAGGCUGAUACCGCCCAAGAGUUCAUAUCGACGGCGGUGUUUGGCACCUCGAUGUCGGCUCAUCUCAUCCUGGGGCUGUAGCCGGUCCCAAGGGUAUGGCUGUUCGCCAUUUAAAGAGGUACGUGAGCUGGGUUUAAAACGUCGUGAGACAGUUUGGUCCCUAUCUUCCGUGGGCGCUGCAGAUUUGAGGAAGCCUGCUCCUAGUACGAGAGGACCGGAGUGGACACACCUCUGGUGUAUCGGUUGUCACGCCAGUGGCAUUGCCGAGUAGCUAAGUGUGGAAGAGAUAACCGCUGAAAGCAUCUAAGCGGGAAACUCGUUUCAAGAUGAGAUCUGCCGGGGCCUUGAGCCCCCUAAAGAGUCGUUCAAGACCAGGACGUUGAUAGGUCAGGUGUGGAAGC
rnacentral:rRNA from 1 species